rnacentral:rRNA from 1 species
UACGUAGGGCGCAAGCGUUAUCCGGAAUUAUUGGGCGUAAAGAGCUCGUAGGCGGUUUGUCGCGUCUGCCGUGAAAGUCCGGGGCUCAACUCCGGAUCUGCGGUGGGUACGGGCAGACUAGAGUGAUGUAGGGGAGACUGGAAUUCCUGGUGUAGCGGUGAAAUGCGCAGAUAUCAGGAGGAACACCGAUGGCGAAGGCAGGUCUCUGGGCAUUAACUGACGCUGAGGAGCGAAAGCGUGGGGAGCGUACAGG